GCUCCAUUAAGGGGAAAAACAUUCAAUUGUGCUGUGUAAGUUCUGAGCCCCCUUUGUCCUAAUGGUGUACAGAUCACAGGAUGGCUCUUGGUCAGAGGCCAGUCAUUUUCCAAACUGCAUUUUAUACUGCCCCAGCUGACACUGGUCAAUAGCAGAAGACUGAAAGCUCUCCUCUCCUGUCAGAUCCAGUACAAGGCAAGGAUGUCCACCCGCACCACUUCUACUCAAUAUAGUACUGAAAGUCCUAGCUAGAGCACUUAGGCAAGAAAAAUUGGAAAAGAAGAAA